UUUAUAUAUAUACACACACACACACACACACUGCUCAAAAAAAUAAAGGGAACACUUAAACAACAAAUGUAACUCAAAGUCAAUCACAAUGUUGUGCAAAUGGGAUAGACAACAGGUGGAAAUUAUAGGCAAUUAGCAAGACACCCCCAAUAAAGGAGUGGUUCUGCAGGUGGUGACCACAGUCCACUUCUCGGUUCCUAUGCUUCCUGGCUGAUGUUUUGGUCACUUUUGAAUGCUGGCGGUGCUUUCACUCUAGAGGUAGCAUGAGAUGGAGUCUACAACCCACACAAGUGGCUCAGGUAGUACAGCUCAUCCAGGAUAGCACAUUAAUGCGAGCUGUGGCAAGAAGGUUUGCUGUGUCUGUCAGCGCAGUAUCCAGAGCAUGGAGGCGCUACCAGGAGACAGGGCAGUACAUCAGGAGACGUGGAGGAGGCCAUAGGAGGGCAACAACCCAGCAGCAGGACAGCUACCUCCGCCUUUGUGCAAGAAGGAACAGGAGGAGCACUGCCAGAGCCCUGCAAAAUUACCUCAAGCAGGCCUGUGCAUGUGUCUUCUCAAACGGUCAGAAACAGACUCCAUAAGGGCCCGACGUCCACAGGUGGGGGUUGUGCUUACAGCCCAACACCGUGCCGUGCAGGCAUUUGCCAGAGAACACCAAGAUUGGCAAAUUCGCCACUGGCGCCCUGUGCUCUUCACAGAUGAACGCAGGUUCACACUGAGCACAUGUGACAGACGUGACAGAGUCUGGAGACGCUGUGGAGAACGUUCUGUUGCCUGCAACAUCCUUCAGCAUGACCGGUUUGGCAGUGGGUCAGUAAUGGUGUGGGGUGGCAUUU